CCUACGGGAGGCAGCAGUGAGGAAUAUUGGUCAAUGGGCGAGAGCCUGAACCAGCCAAGUCGCGUGAGGGAGUACUGCCCUAUGGGUUGUAAACCUCUUUUAUAAAGGAAUAAAGUGAGGCACGUGUGCCUUUUUGUAUGUACUUUAUGAAUAAGGAUCGGCUAACUCCGUGCCAGCAGCCGCGGUAAUACGGAGGAUCCGAGCGUUAUCCGGAUUUAUUGGGUUUAAAGGGAGCGUAGAUGGGUUGUUAAGUCAGUUGUGAAAGUUUGCGGCUCAACCGUAAAAUUGCAAUUGAUACUGGCAGCCUUGAGUACAGUUGAGGUAGGCGGAAUUCGUGGUGUAGCGGUGAAAUGCUUAGAUAUCACGAAGAACUCCGAUUGCGAAGGCAGCUUACUAAACUGCCACUGACAUUGAUGCUCGAAAGUGUGGGUAUCAAACAGGAUUAGAUACCCUAGUAGUC
rnacentral:rRNA from 1 species